CUUUUCCUGGCGUUAGGGAAACAUUAACUUGGAAUUCUGCUAUCAGCUGGGGCUAAAAGUUCAGGAAGCGCUUUGCAGAAAACAGUUUAAAUAGGCGCAAACGACAAUGCUAAUUCCUGUUUUUACGGUUGAUGCUUUUACAAACCGGCCGUUUUUUGGAAAUCCUGCUGCAGUUUGUCUGCUUGAAAAUGACUUGGAUGAAGAUUCGCACCAAAAAAUUGCAAUGGAAAUGAACCUUUCAGAAACUGCUUUCAUCAGAAAACUGCACCCUGGAGAUGACUUUACCAAAAGUUCCUGCUUUGGACUCAGAUGGUUCACCCCAGCCAAUGAAGUUCCUCUCUGUGGUCAUGCUACACUUGCAGCAGCUGCUGUGUUGGUUCACAUACAAAAAAACAAAAAUUCAGUUCUCACAUUUGUGACGCUGAGUGGGGAAUUAAGAGCCCGACAAGUGGAAGACCAUAUUGUCCUGGACUUACCACUUUACUUAACCUACCCACAGGAACUUCAGGAAGUAGAAGAGUUAAUAAAGGCAGCCGUUGGUGACAUGAUUGUUCAAGAUCUUCGUUACUCUCCUGACACAAAGAAACUCUUAGUCCGCCUCAGUGAUGCUUAUGAAAGGUCUGUGUUGGAAGAACUACAAGUGAGCGCACAACACUUUUUGUCAGCUGAAAAGACGGGAAAGGUGAAAGGACUCAUACUCACUCUUAAGGGAAAUUCCAGUGGAAAACAUAAAGGUCAUGAUUUUUACUCCAGAUAUUUUGCACCUUGGUAUGGAAUUUUGGAAGACCCUGUUACAGGAUCUGCCCAUGCUGUUUUAAGCAGCUACUGGUCGGAGCAGCUGGGGAAGAAAGAAAUGCUUGACACUGACCAGAUCUGGUGAAUUCAUUGAUUCCAAUUAAGUAUGAACUGAUAUUUAGUUCCUUUAACUCUGGGAAAGGCUUCAUAUUCUGCAAAACAUUACUAAUGCCUGAAGUUUGUUAUACACCAGUAAAAGAUAUCUGAUGCACCUGCUGUUGUUCAAGCAAGACCUGGUUGUGGAGCUGUUUUAACUGGGUCUGAUCACUGCAUAGAAAACAAAGAUGAACAAAAUUGGUCAUGAGACCUGAAUGUGCUGGCUAGCUACAGUUCCAUAUGUGAAUUGUGAUACAGUAACAGGUGUGCAGAUUCAUGUGACAACAGCUGGAAGCUAGGCAAAUAUGAAGACACUCUGAUUUACACACAAAACUGCUAUUUUGUAAUUCUACCAUCUGAAGACAUCCCGUUACAAUGUCAGAGCAGUAAUCUUUUCUUCCCUAAGGAUUACUUCACAAUUUAAUGAGAGGUGGAGUCUGUUCCAUAGAUGUUUGAAGCAAAGCACGAGUAACGUCCUGUAUCCUCCUCAAAAGCUUCAACAAUAACCAAUGAGUGUUGAUCACCUGUCUGGAUAAUUUGAAUGUCUG